GGCCUGCAUGCUCCAUUGUCUUGUCCCGCGGGCUACGGCUUCGGUGUCAUCAAUCAUGCGAGUAGUAGCAUUCGCUGAUCGAGGGCGGCCGGCCUACGUGGUUUAAGCUCGAACGGAACUAUAUGUGAUACGUGCAAGAGUACGUAUAGCUCGUAUGGAGAUCCCACUGGCCGCGCAAGUUGCUCCGAAAAGCUCAAGCUAAGGAUUUGCCAGUGGAUUCCUCAAUUUCUUUUUCCAUGCAUGCUCAUCCACCGGUACAAGUACUAUAGCGUAAUAAAAUCAUUGCGAGUAGCUCUAGCAUCUUGGCGACGCGAUAGACACGUGCACAACGCAUGAAUUAUCACAUGAUCCAAGACCUAUAUAUCUGGCUAUCUUGUUCGGAGUAAUUUAGUGCGUGUGUAUCUUUACUCUCGAAAGGACCAAUGUAUGCUUCAUCGCGGUGGUCCAGCUAGCGACGUUUGUCCCGUGUUAUCAUCUGUUUCGUACGUAUAGAUCAUUAGUAGAUCGUGGUGUCCCGAAGGCCCCUACUACUUGCACGAGCUAGCACAGUUAUGUGCGCAACGCAAGCAUGUGCUCAAGGGCCGUUGCGCACCAGCUACCAUACACAGCAGCAGGCUGGCAGCUCGAUGGAUUGUGUCCUCUCCAUCUCUCGCCGCGGAAACUACAGCAAGCAGCAGGUGCAAACAAGGCAAUGCAUACACGGCACCAGUCACCACGACGUCCUUGGCGCGAAACGACAGCAAUGUACACUCCAGUAUUCCCAAUUUUUUCGACGGCCGGGCGUGCAACUUGUGACGACGACAGUGGAGCGAGAGCGAGGCAGCGAUGAGAUCAGGGCCCACGCGGCAAUAUCCUUUUCCUCUUUUCGCCGUUUCUGUGUGGGCUCCAUGCUCUGAUCAUUCUCCUCGCCCCAGAGAGAGACGCAUCCGGGAAUCAGUGCCAAGACAUGUGGGCCCACCACUGUUUUUGCUCGACUUUGGGAUAGAGAGCUGGCUGGGUCCACACCGGGCACGACAACGAAUAAUUUUUUUUGUGAAGAGGGGAUUGUACGUGCUAUCCUGUUCUCUAUGCACACGACAUCGUGCUACCCUCCC